rnacentral:rRNA from 1 species
UACGUAGGGGGCAAGCGUUGUCCGGAUUUAUUGGGCGUAAAGAGCGUGUAGGCGGCCAGGUAGGUCUGUUGUGAAAACUCGAGGCUCAACCUCGAGACGCCGAUGGAAACCAUCUGGCUAGAGUCCGGAAGAGGAGAGUGGAAUUCCCGGUGUAGCGGUGAAAUGCGCAGAUAUCAAGAGGAACACCUGAGGUGAAGACGGGUUGCUGGGCUGACACUGACGCUGAAGCGCGAAAGCCAGGGGAGCAAACGGG